CUAUGGAAUCAACAGUCUGCUCUACAUUUUGUUCUAGAUAAAAGUUGAAUGGUGUCAAAGGCUAUGUCACUAAAUUAGCUUACAUGAGAAUGAGGCUGAGAGUGUGUGAUUGGAUUCUUGAAGUCUUUCUUCGAUUUAAGGUAACACACAAACACAAAACACACAGAUUAUGGAUUAUCCUCUCAGUACAAAUUAUAUCUAAGCCCUAUUUUUGACUUUUUGGCACGUGCUAUUGUUUAGAGUAGUUGUGGCAAACUAUUUUUGAUGCAUGCUGACAACAGCUUUUUGACACUGUUGCAUCACGCUUCCACGCAACGUCGGGUGAACCUGUACCUUGUACUGUGGAACAAUAGAACAGAUUCUAAUUUUACAGGUGGCCUCAUAUGCUGUUGACUGUAGAACAAAGUUCAGAUGAACCUUCCAACUAAGAGUACCAUUAGCCUUCACAUGUACCGAAAGAACUUAAUCGGCUUGAUGAUGUCGGCAUCUGGAUGUCACUUUUAUGACCGCAGACUGUGCAUAGCCUACAGAUAGAUCAUCAGGUGGAGCUGAAUGAGACACUACAGCCAGUGAGUUAGAUCAAGCUGAAAACCACGGAGGAGAAUCUCCAACGCUCAAAUCUCCAGGUCAAAAUAAUCACUUAUAUCAUUUUCUCAUUACGAGAACCACAAAACCACAUUUCUGCAAACCACAAAAGCAUGGCAAAAACAAGCUCUGGUGGUCACAACGUCCAUGCUACAAUAUACACUAUUAGUGUGAGUAAGUAAGUGGAUAAGGAGUGUUAUGAGGAGAAGGAGGCCCUGGUCAAAGCUGAGAAUGGUGCCCAAAGUUAAUUUGUGUGGACUUUAUUAGUGGAUAAAGCAUCACUGAUAGUGACAGAGCUUAUAAUUUUAACAGUCUAUGAACAUAAAUAAUUUUAUCUUUUUAUGACAGGCUAUUGUGGUAAUCAGUUUAGGUCUAUGGUGUCAGCCAGUGUGUGCAAACAUCAUUAUGAAGUAAACAGUUCUGUAGAUAGCUAAUGUCUGAAACAAUGAAAUUACACCACUCAAAUGACACUGCAAAGCACCAUACAUUUGGAGACAGUUAGGAUAAAAGGCUAUAGUACAACACUCACGUUGGGAAGAAUUUAAACUGAAUGUCCAAUAAGUGUAAUUCUUUCAAAAUAACUCAAUGUAUUAAAAUUACUACCAGAAUUGUUAAAUGCAGUUUAAAAAUGCCCUGGCAAGCUGAGCCUAUUCUGCAUAGUCUUACCCUCUAACAAAUUUAAUAACCUGAAAUACUUAUAAAACACAACUUAUGCUAAUGAAAGUAGUGUGAUUUUCCUCCACAUACUGAUUCGCUGGUUGAAUUUUAUCUCCUGCAAUCUGAUAGGUUCGCUAAAUCUUGUGAUCUCAUAGGCUAAGAACAUCUUCAUAUACACAUGCCACAGGGAACUGCACAAUCAGUGUUAAGGUUGACUUUGCACUCUGUAAACUUUGCUACUGUAUUACUGUACAAUGUGCCUAGUUACUACAGAGUAGUACAACUUUUAACUUUUUGUCCUACUGUGAUGCUGUAUUGUAAAUGCAAAUUAUGUGUGUCCAUUAUCUAUACAUCUGGAUACCCCAAACAUGUUUCGUUAUACUAUACACUUGUGUAUAUGUAUAAUAAAAAUAAACUUGAAUUAAGUUGAA